CACUCCAUCAUUCAUCUUUGCACACCCGAAUUCCGCAGGGUUUUUCAAGUACCAGAGGUAACCGGUUGCCGCGUGACGAAGGGAACAAAUCGACCAAAGAAGCGAGGACGGUCAUGCGAUCUGCCCGGAUUGCACUGAUGCUGACGAUCGCGCUUGCCGGUCCGUAUGCGUCGAACUUCGCGUAUGCGCAGCGCCCCGAGCAGGGCGCAUCGUCGCGCAA
rfam:Mumia flava strain MTSC 201 Contig35, whole genome shotgun sequence.